rnacentral:RNase_P_RNA from 1 species
CCAUAGGGCAGGGUGCCAGGUAACGCCUGGGGGGGAAACCCACGACCAGUGCAACAGAGAGCAAACCGCCGAUGGCCCACGCAAGUGGGAUCAGGUAAGGGUGAAAGGGUGCGGUAAGAGCGCACCGCGCGGCUGGUAACAGUCCGUGGCACGGUAAACUCCACCCGGAGCAAGGCCAAAUAGGGGUUCAUAAGGUACGGCCCGUACUGAACCCGGGUAGGCUGCUUGAGCCAGUGAGCGAUUGCUGGCCUAGAUGAAUGACUGUCCACGACAGAACCCGGCUUAUCGGUCAGUUUCACUU